CUUGAACACCAGCUCUUGUUCCCAAGCUGGGGCGCGAGGAAAACUUUCUAGAGCUCUUUCUUCCGAGCUUGCCCAUGUCACCGGUUGGUCUGACCAUUGUAAUGGCUCCUCACUGACGAAGGCGGUGCUGCAAGCCUGCAACACACGAACAAGCACUGCAAAUUGAGCAUCAGGAGGAGGAAGCUCGGGCUGUAUUUUGCAAUUCGGGCCGAACGCUUUUUGAACUUGAGACACAUGCAGAACAGGAUGAAUCCGGUUGUGUGUUCAGGAAGUUGAAGACGAUAAACAGAAGCUCCCACGUGGUUCAGCACUUCAAAAGAUCCGUAAAAUUUGAACAACAGCUUGUGGUGUGCCCAUGGCGCCACCGAAGAUUGAAUAUGAGGCUACAGUUUGAGGAAGGAAUCACCCGCACUGAAAUGAUGAUUAGAGUGUUUCUUGUCUGCUUGAUGUUUCAUGCGAGCACGGACACACUCCACGAUCCACGUGUUGCUGUAACAGCCUAAUUAAGGACCAUUGCACGAUCUUGUAGCCAGGAAUCCAGAUCUGAAACUUCACAUGCUUCUAACAGCGAUACGCUGAAUUGCCUUGGAGUUUACCUGAAUCUUACCUAUAACCACACUUUUUGCCUUCCAGAGCAAAAUGAGGGCUUGUGUUGUACCAAUAUUCUGCUAGUGACAACCAGUGUGCCCACUUCACAAGACAAUCAUGAGAGAAACAGAGAAAGUACGCCUCCAAAAGAGAAACAGAGAAAGUACGCCUGCAAACAUUGGUUGACACAUUCUGACUGCCCGUCGGUUUGAGGAUGAUGUGGCGAACUCAUGCGAAGCUUGUGAAAAUGCGGUCACGAUCAGCACCAUGGACUCAGGCAUGCCAUGAAGUUUAUGAAUAUUAUCCAUGAAAGCUGUUGCCACUACAGAAACUGUGGAUGAAUGUUGUACGCAAUGAAAUGGGCGUACGAGACAGCUUAUCAACUACCAGCAGGACAUAGUUGAAACACUCAGAUCGUCGCAAUCCUUCCAUGAAAUCCAUGGUCAACAAUUACCAAAAUUGUUUAGGAGCCGGCAACGGCUCCAAUAGUCCAGGAUAACGUGCACUAUCAGGUGAUGGGAAUACCUGAAUGGCCACCAAUUGAGCUGGAAUGGAAGGCUUCGAGUAACUUGCAUCUUUGGGAGGAUCUCCUGCAUAUCCUAUGGAAUGGCCUUGUUGAAGAAGAAGAAGAAGAAGAGCUCCUACUCCCGUGUCACACGCGUUAGUUUCCACCACAAAUUGAGAAAAAUCUAGGAGAGCAAGAACUGGCAGCACAUACACUGGGACAGAUUUAGGAAAUUCAAAAGCACUUUGGGCUUCCGGUGACCAAACAAAGGGCGUGUCCUUGCAAAGAAGAUUGGUAAGUCGUUGGCUGCAUACUGACGCAAAAACUUGCGAUAAUACCCUGAUAAAGCUAGGAAACCCGCAAUUCUUUCAGAUUGCUAGGUCUUGGCAAAUUUUGCACAUCACAAACCUUGGAUGGAUUGGCCUGGACACCCCUUCCAGAUACCAUGAACCCCAGAUAAGAUGUGCCGUGCUGUGCAUAAGCACACUUAGAUCCCUUCAUUUCUCCAUUGGUUUUGUUGCAGCAGUUGCAAUACUUGUUGCGCAUGGACUAGGUGCUCUUCGAAGGUUGCACUCUGAAUCAGAAUAUUGUCAAAGAACACCAGUGCGCACUUGCGAAGUACUGCAGCAAGAGUUGUAUUCAUCAUUGAUUAAAAUGUUGCAAGGGAUCCAGUUAGCCCAAAAGCCAUGAUGUUGAAUUGAUAGUGUCCAUUAUGAGUAUGAAAAGCUUGCUUGUAUUCUUCUCCCGGCGCCAAGUAGAGUGGUGAUAUCUGGCACACAAAUCGAGCUUAGAAAACCGUGAAGCACUGACCAUCUCAUCGAACAAUUCGUCUAUCACUGUCAGAGAGUAGAUUUAGGUGACGGUAGUCCACACAAAGGCACCAUGUUUGAUCUUUCUUCCUGACCAUGAUGAUAGGGAAUGCGAAUGCACUGUUGCUGACAGAAGUGACCCUUGUGCGCAACAUUUCAACAAUCUUUGCUUCAAUCUUCAAUCUCAGACUUAAGCUCAGGAGUAUAGCCAAUGGCGGAGCCAGAAUCGACUCACGCCCCAGGCAGCCUUGUGGCUACAGUCUGCUACAGUGGUACUGUACGCUACAGCCAUUGAAGGAUAUCUCACCCACGUCCCAAGCGGCGGCCCGGCCUGUCUGGGCCUGACGCCGCCAUGAUGUUCGCUGGUCUAGAACCUUCUAUGAGGGGAAUAUGAUGGCCACUUGACUUUCUUGGAGACAAUUCAGUUAGUUCUGAGAAUAGCUGACCAAACUAUUCCAAAAUAGCCUGAAUUUCGACCAGAAUUAUUUCUUUACUUUCAUCCUGCAGCAAAUGUAUUUCCACCACUCUGCAGCACUAAAUUCUUCUAGUGGGUGACCUUGCAAGCAAACUUAUGUUCCUUUAUGAUCAAAGGACAACCAUUUUUGUUCCCAAUUUACUCGCAUAUUUCCUCUGGCGCCUAGCCAGUCCAUUACAAUUUGAGAGGUAAAACCUUGAAAUCGGACUUGAGUUGAUGACCAGUUGUAGUCCAUUAACAAGAUGGAAUAAUAUGGGUGCAGAAUAAUUGUCUCCCUCCAGCAAUUCGAACCUUCUGUUGCGUGGACAAUGGCGUUCUACCAGGUACGUGCUGAGCCAGUCUCGAACUGACAAAUGAAUGGGAACUGCUCGAGUCUAGCAACAUUCAGCUAUUGUGUAAUCCAACCUGAUACCUGUAUGAGUGUUUUUAUCUGAUUGAGUUUCUGCUGACAACAGCAUCAAAUUAUCUUCACUGUCAUCAGACUCAGCUGCUUCUGACGCAGCAAAAUUACAGCAUCUCCUGCACAAGAUGUAGCUGCACAGUAAUGUUGCAUUUAUGGUCCUUGCGCCAUUUUUCUCCACAGAUAAAGCACAUACAGACCCUUAGCCCUUUGGUAUGCCUUCCGAGUAGCAAGUUUAUAUGCCACUUUGUUUGCCCCUCUCCUAAUCAGCAUGGGCAGUUGUUGUGUGCAUGAGA